GUCCAGAAUGGGGGGGACGGUUUCAGCGGUUCACACCCUGAAGGAAACGAGGAAAGUCUGGUGGGAAGAGGGUUUUCGGGCCCUUUUCGAAUCCAGCGCUGUCCCGCAGCUGUGAUGGGGCUCCCUGACAGGACGACCCCUCAGUCAGAACGCUCGCCGUCGUUAUCCCCCAUCU
rnacentral:ncRNA from 2 species